AUUGAACGCUGGCGGCAGGCCUAACACAUGCAAGUCGAGCGGUAGCACGGGAGAGCUUGCUCUCUGGGUGACGAGCGGCGGACGGGUGAGUAAUGUCUGGGAAACUGCCUGAUGGAGGGGGAUAACUACUGGAAACGGUAGCUAAUACCGCAUGAUGUCGCAAGACCAAAGUGGGGGACCUUCGGGCCUCACGCCAUCGGAUGUGCCCAGAUGGGAUUAGCUAGUAGGUGGGGUAAUGGCUCACCUAGGCGACGAUCCCUAGCUGGUCUGAGAGGAUGACCAGCCACACUGGAACUGAGACACGGUCCAGACUCCUACGGGAGGCAGCAGUGGGGAAUAUUGCACAAUGGGCGCAAGCCUGAUGCAGCCAUGCCGCGUGUGUGAAGAAGGCCUUAGGGUUGUAAAGCACUUUCAGCGAGGAGGAAGGCGUUGUAGUUAAUAGCUGCAACGAUUGACGUUACUCGCAGAAGAAGCACCGGCUAACUCCGUGC
rnacentral:rRNA from 1 species